rnacentral:rRNA from 1 species
UACGUAGGGUGCGAGCGUUAAUCGGAAUUACUGGGCGUAAAGCGUGCGCAGGCGGUUUGUUAAGUCUGAUGUGAAAGCCCCCGGGCUCAACCUGGGAACUGCAAUGGAAACUGGCGGGCUUGAGUGUGGCAGAGGGGGGGUGGAAUUCCGCGUGUAGCAGUGAAAUGCGUAGAGAUGCGGAGGAACACCGAUGGCGAAGGCAGCCCCCUGGGCCAACACUGACGCUCAGGCACGAAAGCGUGGGGAGCAAACAGG